rnacentral:lncRNA from 1 species
AGAGGGCGCUGUCCCCUCGGAGGCGCGGGCGCUGCGGCGGGAAGCGGCGCAGCGAGGGUCUUCCCCCCCAAGACACAGUUGUUUCUGACACAUAGGAAGACCACAAGUUUACAAAUGCAAACGCCGAGGGCACGGGGCGAUGCUGGCUCCACGUCCAGGCGAUCUUCCCUGCCGGGCCACAGCUCAGGAAAGCCCGGCUCCUUGCUCCAGACCCUGAUCAGGCUGCAUCCACUCCUGCUCGGCAGCUUCAGGCCAAGUUCCCACCUGGUGGGAAGCACUGUGCAGGUUCGUGGGGAUGCAGCCCUGCACAGCCCAGACUGGACUCCUUCCCCAUGGAACUCACAACACACGGGAGAGGCAGAGAGAUCCAAGCGCACAGAAAAACACAAGAAGAUUCAGCCCUGUCAUCUUGUGCAAAGUGCACGCGAAGGCCUCAACCAUCUGGAGAACACCUGCUGCAACAGAGUCACACAGGCUAGAGUGCAGUGGCAUGAUCUCAGCUCCCCACAACCUCUGCCUCCGAUGUUCAAGCGAUUCUCCUGUCUCAGCCUCCUGAGUAGCUGGAAUUACAGGGCAUGCUUUCUCGCCUGCCGGCCUUCCACCAUGGGAUGAAGCAGCAAGAAGGCUCUUGCCAGAGGCAGACCCCUCGACCUUGGACUUCCCAGCCCCCAGAACUGUAAGAAAUAAAUCUCUCUUCUUUAUAUA